AUUGAACGCUGGCGGCCGGCCUAACACAUGCAAGUCGAGCGGAGCGGCGGACGGGUGAGUAAUUCCUAGGAAUCUGCCUGUUAGUGGGGGAUAACGUGCGGACAGGUGCUCUAAUACCGCAUACCAUCACAUGAGCCUAGGUCGAAUGAGCUCGUUGGAGGGGUAAAGGCCUACCAAGGCGACGAUCCGUAACUGGUCUGAGAGGAUGAUCAGUCACACUGGAACUGAGACACGGUCCAGACUCCUACGGGAGGCAGCAGUGGGGAAUAUUGGACAAUGGUGGAAAGCCUGAUCCAGCCAUGCCGCGUGUGUGAAGAAGGUCUUCGGAUUGUAAAGCACUUUAAGUUGGGAGGCGUUACCAACAGAAUAAGCACCGGCUAACUUCGUGCCAGCAGCCGCGGUAAUAC
rnacentral:rRNA from 1 species